ensembl:snoRNA
GUCAUUUUGUAGUCCAUAGCACGAUGAUUGGAUUUUCAUGUGCAUGUGUGAGGUGUACUACCCUCAAACCUUAUUAAUGUCUGCACGUUGUCUGACA